GCUAACCAUGCAGUCGAACGAUGAACCACUUCGGUGGGGAUUAGUGGCGAACGGGUGAGUAACACGUGGGCAAUCUGCCCUGCACUCUGGGACAAGCCCUGGAAACGGGGUCUAAUACCGGAUACUGACCGCCUUGGGCAUCCAAGGCGUUCGAAAGCUCCGGCGGUGCAGGAUGAGCCCGCGGCCUAUCAGCUUGUUGGUGAGGUAAUGGCUCACCAAGGCGACGACGGGUAGCCGGCCUGAGAGGGCGACCGGCCACACUGGGACUGAGACACGGCCCAGACUCCUACGGGAGGCAGCAGUGGGGAAUAUUGCACAAUGGGCGAAAGCCUGAUGCAGCGACGCCGCGUGAGGGAUGACGGCCUUCGGGUUGUAAACCUCUUUCAGCAGGGAAGAAGCGAAAGUGACGGUACCUGCAGAAGAAGCGCCGGCUAACUACGUGCCAGCAGCCGCGGUAAUACGUAGGGCGCGAGCGUUGUCCGGAAUUAUUGGGCGUAAAGAGCUCGUAGGCGGCUUGUCACGUCGGUUGUGAAAGCCCGGGGCUUAACCCCGGGUCUGCAGUCGAUACGGGCAGGCUAGAGUUCGGUAGGGGAGAUCGGAAUUCCUGGUGUAGCGGUGAAAUGCGCAGAUAUCAGGAGGAACACCGGUGGCGAAGGCGGAUCUCUGGGCCGAUACUGACGCUGAGGAGCGAAAGCGUGGGGAGCGAACAGGAUUAGAUACCCUGGUAGUCCACGCCGUAAACGGUGGGCACUAGGUGUGGGCAACAUUCCACGUUGUCCGUGCCGCAGCUAACGCAUUAAGUGCCCCGCCUGGGGAGUACGGCCGCAAGGCUAAAACUCAAAGGAAUUGACGGGGGCCCGCACAAGCGGCGGAGCAUGUGGCUUAAUUCGACGCAACGCGAAGAACCUUACCAAGGCUUGACAUACACCGGAAACGUCUGGAGACGGGCGCCCCCUUGUGGUCGGUGUACAGGUGGUGCAUGGCUGUCGUCACCUCGUGUCGUGAGAUGUUGGGUUAAGUCCCGCAACGAGCGCAACCCUUGUCCCGUGUUGCCAGCAGGCCCUUGUGGUGCUGGGGACUCACGGGAGACCGCCGGGGUCAACUCGGAGGAAGGUGGGGACGACGUCAAGUCAUCAUGCCCCUUAUGUCUUGGGCUGCACACGUGCUACAAUGGCCGGUACAAUGAGCUGCGAUACCGCGAGGUGGAGCGAAUCUCAAAAAGCCGGUCUCAGUUCGGAUUGGGGUCUGCAACUCGACCCCAUGAAGUCGGAGUCGCUAGUAAUCGCAGAUCAGCAUUGCUGCGGUGAAUACGUUCCCGGGCCUUGUACACACCGCCCGUCACGUCACGAAAGUCGGUAACACCCGAAGCCGGUGGCCCAACCCCCUUGUGGGGAGGAGCUUCGAAGGGGA
rnacentral:rRNA from 1 species